rnacentral:rRNA from 1 species
UACGAGGGGGGCAAGCGUUGUCCGGAAUCAUUGGGCGUAAAGAGCGUGUAGGCGGCUCGAUAAGUCUGCUGUGAAAGUCCAGGGCUCAACCCUGGAAGGCCGGUGGAAACUGUCGGGCUAGAGUCCGGAAGAGGCGAGUGGAAUUCCCGGUGUAGCGGUGAAAUGCGCAGAUAUCGGGAGGAACACCAAUGGCGAAGGCAGCUCGCUGGGACGGUACUGACGCUGAGACGCGAAAGCGUGGGGAGCAAACAGG